CCGCCAUCCCCGUCCGUAUAUAAAGGCAAACCUCGCGUGUCUGUCUGUAUCGGCCUGGAGACUGCACCUGAAUCACCGUCAAGAUGAAGAGGAUUGUUUUCGCUUGUGUGCUUGUGGUGGCGUUGGUGGCGAUGGCAGAAGCUCUACCACAGGGACAGAGGAUUGAUGGAGGCCGCUUCCCGUUCCCCUCACGCCCACCAUCCAGGCCGGUUCCGUGCGUGUGUGUGACCCAGCCCUGCCCUUGCGACGGGUAUGACUGGCCUCCGUUUGACCACUUCAGAUUAAGUGAACAGUAAAUAAAGGUAUCAAUCUGCAACAUCCAGUAUUCCUGCAUUUUUUCUUUCUUUUAGCUUUUUUGGCAUUUUGUUAUUGUUGUAAGAAAAUGGCGGAUUUUCGAAUAAAAGGAAAAUAUGU
rnacentral:lncRNA from 1 species